rnacentral:lncRNA from 1 species
AUGCACGUGUGUGGCUUGCUUGGCAAGAGCGCUGCUUAUUGGUCGGAAUAUCCUGUAGACGAGGAAACUGAGGCUCUGAGAGGUUCCCACCGCCAACGACAGGGAUUUGAAGCCCGAGGCUGCUCCCCGUUCCCACCCAAACCAGACGGCAGGUGUAAGGGCCGUGGUGGAGGCUGGUGAGGGUGCCACUUGCUUCUCCUUGACCUCGGGGAAGAUGAAGUCGUGAGUCAGGAGGGAGGCAGCUGGCCGGCUCCUGUGAUGUCAGAGCGGAUGGUCGUUGCCUUGGGGUUCGGUCUCACGCUCCGGAAGAACCUGGUUUCACGGUGAGAGAGUCCCCGUCUCUCAAGGGUUCUGUACUCAGGUUAGCUAACCUGAUGGUGACUGUGACUUCAGAAUUGAGCCAGGCUCUGAGCACUUCUUACCACGCCCACCUCUGCCCCCAUCUGGUCCAGCACCCCCGCCUCUCACCUGGGUUGUGGCAGCAGGCUCCUGCUUGGCCUACGGCUUCAGCCUCACCUUCUCAUUAAAAAGGAAAUGAGGUCAAGUCCGGUGACCUCAUGCUGGGCCGCACACAUCUUCUGGCUGCUUUGCAGCCCCUCUUACUAUCUCUGCUGUGUGCAAAACUCAGAAGCCAAAGGGGAUGAAGCUGCCAUCUGUGGGAUUAAGAUCAGAUGUCUUGAUUCGGAUCCUCCAAGCAUAAUGAUGUGUUGUUGCCAUAGCAAUUCUGCUCAAGAGCCCUUUGGACAGAAGGCAGGUGUGUAAUAGUUUGUCUGCUCACAAUGGGGAAACUGAGGCUCAGAGAGUCAAACGUUUUGCUCACGUUCACCUGAAUAGUCACCAUCCGGAUUUCAACAUAUGUCUUCUGAUUCUAAGCUCAGAGAGGUUCUUUCUACGGCACCACUCUGAACUUGAGACAAAGGAAUACUCAUAUGAACCAAUCAGAACAGUGGUUCCCUAACUUGGAAUCCUGGAUGCUUGUUAAGAAUCAACACUUCUCAGCCCCCUCCAGACUUGACACACACAUUUGCGAAGAACCCUGAGGCUCUUAGCAGCUUUCCUCCUAGGCACAUUGACAUUUCACGGGACCCUGGAGAGAUUACACAGUGAGGAAGACAAUCAUUCUCGUCCGGCCUGGGCACCUGCUGCAGUACGGUCACCUGGUCUGGCUCCAUCGAAGCAGAAGGAAAGGAAGAUUUCACUCUGAGAGGGAAUAUAAGAGUCUGGGUGUCGUGUGAGUUGAAGCGUGGGGACCACAGCUUGAUAUUAGUUUUUCCAUUAUUUUGAGUUUCUACAAGUGCUUCCUAUAAAAUUUAUCUGUUUUGAGGCCAGAGGGACUAAUAGUUUCUCAAUGAUAAAAGGCUAUCUUGUGAAGACAACAAUGCGUAUAUUAUUUGAAGUUAUUAUAUGCCAUUUGAUAGUGGUUCUUUUUUGACUCCUGUAUAAACCUUUUGGAGGAGAGAUCUCAAAUAUAUAUAUAUAUAUAUAUAUAUAUAUAUAAAGCAUAUAUAUAUAAGUAUAUAUCUUUUGCAUAUACAUAAGUAUAUAUAUUAUUGCAACUCCUGUUAAAAAUGUUUCUUAUAAUAAUCUGUGACAUUAAAUGCUUCUUCUAAAUGAAUAGACUUUUACAAGCUAAAAAUAAUCACCAUCGAUGAGUCUUUUCUUUAAAAAGUAUAAUCAACAUUCUGGUCGGAGGGGGUGACCUCUCUUUGUCAUCCUUCAGCACCCAAUAGAAUUCUCAUGAUCCUGGGCAAAUGACACAGCUCCUUUGUGACUCCGUUUCCUCAUCUGAAAGAGAAGGAGGUCAAAUCAGGUGCUCGCUAGGGCCCCCUCCAGCUCUAACACCAUGAGCCUGUGAUGCUUCCACAUACUUGCUGAUUGAUUAGCUUAUUAAUCGGGUUCAAGGAAAACACUUGUUAGUUCUGUUGUUCAAUUAGUGACAUUAAUGCUACUAAUAUAAAAUUACCAUCUAAUGUUCCCUGUCUCCAAUCUCUUUUGAAUCCUUAACAUUUUCUUCUUUGGAAUAUGAGGUGUGAUUGCUCUUUUAGAAUUAUAAUUCUCUACUUGACUUCUACUCAUAAAAAAUUCUUGAAAGAGGUCUUAGAAACUGUUUGCUCUAGCGCUAUUUUGCAAAUACUUCUGGAGAAGUGCAAGUGCUCCAUAGACAUUAAUUCUUCGACCUAAUUACAACCCAGGAAAGGACGUUAGUUUGAUGAUGAAUAAUGUGCCUCUCCUGUUUUGACUGAUAUUUAAUUGCAUUGCACUAAUUUAGUUAAGAAAUUUGCCUGAUUCCAUAGACCCACAUGUUUAUGUGAAAUGAGAUUGGUGAGAGGCUCAGAAUCCCAGCUCCGGCCAGUGCAACAAGCAAAGAAAGCAGGGGUCAGCGGGCUGCCAGCUCCCUCCAGGAGGGGACUCCCCUGUGAGUUCAGAGGUCACACUCCCAUGACCAGAGGGAGGGGGCUGAGGGAACACAGGGCUGGGAGAUUGGUGCACAUGCUCUGCCCUUAUUUUCUGAAUGGCUGCUUCCCAUCCGCCCUUCGUGACCAUAGUACCUUAGUCUACAAUUGGAAAAAUGAAUUGAAACUGCUCCUUGUAGACACUCUAUCUCCAGCCCUAAGUACCUUUUUACCCUUUGACUAAGUUUUGAGUUAGUGUUCCUUUUCAGUGCUAGCUUUGAAUUUGUGUUGACCCUGUUUUAGCUUAGCCUCCAGGCAUCGAUGAAGACCAGCUUCUCUUGCUGCUGUGAUGCUGCUCCACCUGCCCAGCUGUAUUGAGGGACUGUUAUUUCCAAGCAGUGAUGUACAAUCGUCAGAGCAAUAAAUAAUAUAUACUGGAUUACAAAAUAACCAGCCAUAAGAUAUAUAACAUUUUACUAAAGUAUAUAAUAAUGUAGUGUUCUAUGAAUUAUCUUUUUUUUUGAAGAUUUUAUUUUUUCCCCUUUUUCUCCCCAAAGCCCCCCGGUACAUAGUUGUAUAUUCUUUGUUGUGGGUCCUUCUAGUUGUGGCAUGUGGGACGCUGCCUCAGUGUGGCCUGAUGAGCAGUGCCAUGUCCGUGCCCAGGAUUCGAACCAACGAAACACUGGGCCGCCUGAAGCGGAGUGCGCGAACUUAACCACUCGGCCACAGGGCCAGCCCCAUGAAUUAUCUUGAAAAUCUGGUAGAAUGAAAAUUUGAGUCAUUAGCGUGGCUGAUGCAUGACCUGAACGCAUGACUCGGGGAGAUGGUGACUGAAGCUCCAGUAUAAAAAUAUGAAUCCUCCUAGUUUAUCGUUUCACCAUCAGAGUCUUCCCUUGGGGGCCCUUUAGGAGUUUUCAGUAAAAUCCAAAUUCCGUGUGGAGGAGCCACACCGUUAACGUUUGUUCAUUAACCUGGGAUGCUCAGAGGCUAGAUCAUGGGGAUGAGUGGACAGCCGAGCGCACCACUCUGAGAAUGGCAAACAAGGACCUGCUUUUCCCCAGCAUCCCAAAUCUCACACCCUUGAUGCCCCUGUGGAGCCCCAUCAAGUGAGAAGGAGACCAAGGAGGAAUUCAUGCCACAGGCCAGGUGAGAACUUGCCCUGAGAUAACAGCGAACAACGUAUUACAAGCACCAAUGUGAAAGCUUCUUUUAUGAUGUCGGGUCUUUUGGGAAGUUGAGUCUCUCAGGAGGGUUUAAAUCAUGACUUUGCAGCAUGAGGACGUUAACGCAGUCUUGAAACAGCACAACAUGUGCUGGCUCCACGUGUGCUGCCCUCCUGUAGGCUGUUACUCACAUCCAGCCCGCUGUCUGGACAAGGCAGCUACUUUUCUGUGUUCUUGACUCCCCUUAUUAAUUCUGUUACCAAGACAAUUAACUUGGAUGUCAAAAGACAAACGGAGGCAAUAAGAUUCUAAAGGACAAAUCUCCAGAAAGUAUUUUCUGCUUUUACUUAUCUUGAGAACUACCUUUCAUCUUAUGAAGCAGAAGAUAAGGAGCAGUGAGUCCACAUUUUUUAGACAUCCUCCAUAAUUUUGCUCCCCAUCCCUGCAAAUCUCAUCCGCCAAUGAAAGAUGGCUAAAAAUAGAAUUAAAUGUUCUACAAGCAUGAGUGUUCAAAUCCAUCCUUUCUCCAGAUAUCCAAUCACCAAAGAAAGAAGAUAAUGAUGCUUUUUCUUCAACUUUUAAACCCCCAUUUACCCACCGAGCAUGGUGUAGACAAUCAUUGCAGGUGUCACUUUCAUAAAGUGGUCGAGCACGUUGGCCAAUAAACACACAAUUCACCCAGAGCAGUGACAGCUCUUGGGUCGUCUCUUCAUACUUAAGGAAAGAGCUUAAAAUUUAAAACAAACAUAGAAGUAAUUGUUGUAAAAUCUGUCCAUAUUUGGGUUCAAUACAUUCAAUUUUUUUCUACCAAGAACUCAUAGAGAUGGCAGUAGAGACAACAAAAGGAGGAAAAACUCCAGAGUGCUUGGUAUUUUCUAAUUAUCCUUCCUUUAUUACAUUUAAUAGAGUGAAAAAGAAGGUAAGAUGUGAGCAAACCUAAAAAUGGUGAAGGCUUACUUUUCACCUUAUUAGAAAUCAGAAAACGUAUAUUUUUAAUGCCUGGUGCUUUGUUUAAAAAUUAAAUUAUCUUAAUAUACCUGUAACAGAUAUAUUAAACGUAAUUUCUUAGAGAAUGUCAGUCUCAUUCAGGGUCUGCUGUGUGUUUCAGAAACCAAUAAAUGGACAGUAACUCCCACAGAUUAUCACCCUAACCAUCUGCAAACUUAAAAAAUGUUAUUAUCCAUCCCAUUACAGGCACGGCCAUGUCUCUGUGGUGGGAAACAGGGCAGGUGCCAGCUCACUUUCCCCUUGGAUGUGGGGUGGUCACCCCAUGCCACGCAGAGCUACAGGAGUCAACUUGUGAUCUGACCUUUCACCCUUCAUCACAAAACACUAAUUUCAACUCGCUUAGAAAAGUUUAAUACUCGUUUGUGAAGCUCGGCUCUUGUGGACCAGACAAGUCAGGUGGCGCAGUCUGAUUCUGCUUCUUUAGACUUUAGAAAUGAAAAAUAUACUGUGGCUUUCACCUCUGCCAUUUACUGUUAUCUUGGGUCAAAGUUUUCUCAAUUAUUUUGGAAGCCAUUUCUAAAGUGAUCUUCAAGAUUUGAAAGUAAACAGAAAAAUCUACUAGAGUUCUCUGCCAUAGUGACACAUUACCAGGAAGAAGAGAUUUUAAUUCUGUGGAUGCUUAGCUGUAUCAAUCUCUUUCUGUGAAUUACAGAUGAAAUAAACGAGAGAAUCUG